UAAGGAAUAUUGGUCAAUGGACGCAAGUCUGAACCAGCCAUGCCGCGUGAAGGAUGAAGGUCCUCUGGAUUGUAAACUUCUUUUAUCUGGGACGAAAACGGGAUUUUUAUCUCAAUUGACGGUACCAGAGGAAUAAGCACCGGCUAACUCCGUGCCAGCAGCCGCGGUAAUACGGAGGGUGCGAGCGUUAUCCGGAUUUACUGGGUUUAAAGGGUGCGUAGGUGGGCUUAUAAGUCAGUGGUGAAAUCUCCGAGCUUAACUUGGAAACUGCCGUUGAUACUAUAGGUCUUGAAUUAUCUGGAGGUAAGCGGAAUAUGUCAUGUGGCGGUGAAAUGCUUAGAUAUGACAUAGAACACCAAUUGCGAAGGCAGCUUACUACAUAUAAAUUGACGCUGAGGCACGAAAGCGUGGGGAUCAAAC
rnacentral:rRNA from 1 species